rnacentral:rRNA from 1 species
GAGCGGGUUGCUGNCCUCCUAUGUUCCUAACGGUCCUCGUCCGCGAGGGCGGGGAAUCAACCGCUAGGAUCGUUUACUUUGAGGAAAUUAGAGUGUUCAAAGCAGGCGUAACUCGCCUCCGAAUACGUUAGCAUGGGAUAAUGGAAUACGACUUCGGUCUUGUUUCGUUGGUUUCGCUUGGCUGAAGUAAUGAUUGAUAGGGACAGUUGGGGGCAUUAGUAUUUAGUUGUCAGAGGUGAAAUUCUAGGAUUUACUAAAGACUGACCAAUGCGAAAGCAUUUGCCAAGGAUGUUUUCAUUAAUCAAGAACGAAAGUAGGGGGAUCGAAGACGAUCAGAUACCGUCGUAGUCUCUACCGUAAACUAUGCCGACCAGGGAUCCGGAGAGUUUGCAUGGAUGACUCCCCGGGCACCUUGUGAGAAAUCAUAAGUGUUUGGGUUUUGGGGGGAGUAUGGUCGCAAGGCUGAAACUUAAAGGAAUUGACGGAAG